rnacentral:rRNA from 1 species
ACGGGUGAGUAACGCGUGGGAAUCUACCGUGCCCUGCGGAAUAGCUCCGGGAAACUGGAAUUAAUAUCGCAUACGCCCUACGGGGGAAAGAUUUAUCGGGGUAUGAUGAGCCCGCGUUGGAUUAGCUAGUUGGUGGGGUAAAGGCCUACCAAGGCGACGAUCCAUAGCUGGUCUGAGAGGAUGAUCAGCCACAUUGGGACUGAGACACGGCCCAAACUCCUACGGGAGGCAGCAGUGGGGAAUAUUGGACAAUGGGCGCAAGCCUGAUCCAGCCAUGCCGCGUGAGUGAUGAAGGCCUUAGGGUUGUAAAGCUCUUUCACCGGAGAAGAUAAUGACGGUAUCCGGAGAAGAAGCCCCGGCUAACUUCGUGCCAGCAGCCGCGGUAAUACGAAGGGGGCUAGCGUUGUUCGGAAUUACUGGGCGUAAAGCGCACGUAGGCGGAUAUUUAAGUCAGGGGUGAAAUCCCAGAGCUCAACUCUGGAACUGCCUUUGAUACUGGGUAUCUUGAGUAUGGAAGAGGUAAGUGGAAUUCCGAGUGUAGAGGUGAAAUUCGUAGA